rnacentral:rRNA from 1 species
UGUGAAGUUAUUUUAGUAAUUUAAUAAAAGUAAUUUUAUUAUUAAGUAGUUUAAGUAUUUAGGUGAGAAUAAAUUGUUAAUGAUGAUAGUAAAUUAGUACUGUGGAGGGAUGUUGAAAUAGGUAGAAAUAAAUUUUUAUAAAAGUAGAUAAAGAUAUUGUACCUUGUGUAUCAGGGUUUAUUUAAUUUAUAGUAUAGAUGUAUUAUUCCCGAAUUAAGAAGAGUUAAUGUAUUAAUUUAAUUAGUGUGGUAUAAUUAUUAAGAAUAAUAUAUUGGUAAUGAAAUGUUUCCGUUUCUUAAGGUAUCUGGUUUUUCAAGAGUUGAAUUUAAUUUAGUUUAAUUUUGUCAUUUUAUAUUUGUAUAAUUAUAAUUAUAAAAUUAAGGUAAUAUUUCGGGGGAUUAGCUUCGGAAUAUAGAUUAUAAGUUGGGGGAAAAGUGUAAUUAGUUGUAAGCUUUAAAUUAGCUAUCAAUAGAGAUAAUGUUAUAAAUUAUUUUAUAUAUAUAUUUAAUUUUAUAAACACUUUAAUUUGUAUAUUGAAAUGAUAUAUUGAAUUUAUUUAUAUAAGAAAUAAUGAUAAAAUUAGUAUAUUCUUUGGGAGAAAAUUUAUGAUUAUUAGAAUUUAUAAUAAGGAAUUCAGCAAUGCUAAUGCUCGCCUGUUUAACAAAAACAUGUCUUUUUGCGUUUAAUUUAAAGUCGGGCCUGCCCACUGAUGUUAUUUGAAGGGCCGCGGUAUUUUGACCGUGCAAAGGUAGCAUAAUCAUUAGUCUUUUAAUUGGGGGCUAGAAUGAAUGGUUUGACGAAGUAUUAACUGUCUCUUUUUAAAAAUGUAGAAUUUAUUUUUUGAGUUAAAAGACUUAAAUAACAACAAGGGACGAGAAGACCCUAUAGAGCUUUAUAUAAAUGUGAAAUUUAUAAUUUUAGUUGAUAUAUAUUUAUUUAUUUUUAAUUUAUAUUAUGUUGGGGUGACAUGAAGAUUUAAUAAACUCUUCAUUAUUAAAUACAUAGAUUUAUGGGUGGAUGAUCCAAUAUUAGUGAUUAUAAGAUAAAGUUACCUUAGGGAUAACAGCGUAAUUUUUCUUGAGAGUUCAUAUCGAAAGAGGAGAUUGCGACCUCGAUGUUGGAUUAAGAAAAUGAUUAAAUGCAGUAGUUUAAUUAAUAGGUCUGUUCGACCUUUAAAUUCUUACAUGAUCUGAGUUCAGACCGGCGUGAGCCAGGUCGGUUUCUAUCUUUGUAACAGUAAAAUAUUUUAGUACGAAAGGACCAAAUAUGAAGAAUAAUUUUUAGGUAUUAGUAUAUUAGUAAAUU